UUUACAGCACACCUGUGAUUUAGGACAGGAUGGCUGCAGAGAAAACUGGUAGCUGCAGGCGCUUUCAUAUUCUUGUCGUGUUCUUGAUAAUGGAUGCAAUAAUUCCUUUGGAGUGGCAUUUGAAGAUGGUUGUUUACCUGUUUUAUUUACUAGCCAAACUGUCACUUGUAUCCAGAAAUGCAAACCUUAACAUUGUGAUGCAGAGAUAGAGGUCCGCUGACGAGUUUACCUGAAAUCCCUCUCCCCUCCCACAACUGGCCGCUUGUGGCGCCACUGAUGGGACAUAUAUUGUAAUAUUUACGAUUACAGGAUUGUUCUGAAGACCGAAAGAAGGAAACUCCUCGUGAUCGCCUCAACGUGCUGUCAAAAGCUGAAGAGUCAUCAUGGCCUCCUUCACAUUGUCAACAUUCCUGUGUUACUGCUCUCUCUUGCAUGGC